UCAUAUAUUAUGCCAUUAGAUAAAAAUGUCUUUAAUUAACAUGACCAAUAACAUUUACAAGCGCUACCAUUUCCAGGAAGUAGUGUUUCAUAAAAACACUCUGCCGCAAUACUUGCACCAUGUCUAUACCUACAGGCAUCCCAACAAUCCUCCGAUACAUCUUCCCCAUCACACCAUUUCGGCUUAAAAGCUAGCAACUCAGUACACACACCAUCACUUAUUGUUGGUAUCAUCAUUUCAACUACAAAAAAGGAGUAUCAUUUCUUUAGGUCAAAUUUCAUAUCAUCAAACUAGUUUCUUAUACAGAAUAAUAUAAACUUUAAUUUUGGUCGAUUUAAGCAAAAAACAUUUUAAUAAUUAUACUGCCACAUCUAAUGAAUGGCUAUUACAAACAUAAAAGAAUACCUGAUAAAACAAGGAUAACGAUAAGCACCACAUUAAACACCACCAUUGCUGUGAAUCGUGCCAUAUUAUCGUGGAAUAAAAACCAAACAAAUCAACUGAGCUAAUUAAUUCAAAUGAAUAAUAAAAAUGUCUCAACGUAUAAAUAACACAAAUUUAUGUUUUAAAGAUAUUAACAUAACAAUAUCUAGAAAUUUGUCAUAAAGACGUUUCUACGUUUCAUUCAUAAAACUAUCCAUAACUAACGUAAUCAAAUCAAAUUUAAAAUUAUUACUUAAUGCAAUCAAAUCAAUUUUAGAACAUUCUGUUUAUGCAAUCAUAUGAUUUAAUGUUUUGAUGAAUUCAACCAAAAUAUUUGUAUUGAAUCUUAGAGGGCAUAUCUUCAAUAUUUAUAGCUAAAAUUUGAGAAUUUGGGUUAUAUUUUAGGGAAAUCUCCAAUAAAGUCCAAAAGUUUUGUCCAAUUUACGUUUCAGUUCUAAACUAAUUUUUUUAAUGAAAAAGUCCA
rnacentral:lncRNA from 1 species